rnacentral:lncRNA from 1 species
UUUGGUAAGUCAUUUCUCUUUCCCUUAACCGUAACUACGCUCUCUAUCUCUCUGUCUCUACCUCGCGCACGAUUGAUGCCACAGUAGCAAGGAAUGACGUUGAAUCUAGGCCAACUGAGAUUUAUAUCUAAGGCAGCUGAGACUUGUACUUGUAGGUUUUAUCUUUACUACAAUUUUUUCCUCUUCUAUAUGUUUCUUAUGAUUUCUUUAGUUGCAGCGUUCAAUCUACGCAUUUUUUCAUUUUUUUUGUUCGAUCUUUUGAGAAAUGAAACUCGAAAUGGAUAAAUUAUGUUCCUUUGAUGUCUUUGUUGUGUAUUCUUUGUUCAAUUUCUUGGUUUUACGGAUGAAAUUUUUAUUUAUUUAUUUAUUUUUUUGCCUAUUUCUUCAAUUAUGCUGUUAAAUCUGUUGUCAUUUUUUUGUGUUCGAUCUUUUAGGAGU